ACCUAGCUGGCUCAGUCAGUGGAGUAUGUGACUCUUGAUCUCAGGGCUGUGUGUUCAAACCCCACAUUGGGUG
rfam:Mustela putorius furo unplaced genomic scaffold scaffold01473, whole genome shotgun sequence.